rnacentral:tRNA from 1 species
AUUUACAUAUUAUAAAAAUUAUAUUUGACUUCCAAUCAAAAAAUCUAGCAAUCUAGUGUAAAUA